rnacentral:misc_RNA from 1 species
GGCUUCUUUAGCUUUUUGCUUUUUCAAUAAUUUCACUUGUCCUAUGCUAUUUCAAAGAUUAUGAUCAAUUUUUGAAGAACAAUAAUCAAGUAGUAUUAUCAAUUGAUGCCGGACGACAAGAAGAUGCUAUGUUUACAAUUUGAUGAUAACAAUUUGGAAUUCAGUUAUUUACUAGGCCUUUCUAUAUUGCUACCAACUAUUGUUCUGGUUUAUUGUCUGCUCAAAUUUCUUCUUCAAUUGCUAAUUCACCAUCCUCAGAACAUGUCUCAG